AAGGCAUUUGAAGUACUUCUUGUAGUUGUAUUUUACUCAUGUUAGGAAGAUUACUUGAAUGCGAGCUUUUAAUAGUUAUCAUUUCAGAUCAAAUGCCAGAUCUUUGGUGUUUGUGAGGAACAAAUGCAGCACAUCAGUGCUUCGUCUGACUGCCGUGUGAAGGUGUUGCUCAGGACCAGGAGCACUCAGAGGGGUCGGCAACCCUUCCACUUACACUUCAACCUUACUAAGAGAGGACGGAGGGCUCCGAAGAUAUCCCACCUGGGGAAGAACCAAGAUCCAACCACCAGCACAUUCCCAAAGCUGCACUCUUCACUUCUGAUUUCCUCAGCAAAACUGAAUAGGAAGUAAAGUUAAAAAUUAAAUGUUUGCUGUUUGCAGAGGAGCAGUACCUUAAAGGAACAUCCAGACACAGCUUCCUGCUUCCUGACCUUGGCACAGGGAUGCUGUUCUCUGCAGCGCCCUGUCCUCGUCCCCAGACUCCUCCAGCCCUUUCUUCCAGCCCAGUCCCUCUCACUGGCAGCUCAGCAGUGGUGAGUUAAAAGAAAACUGUGUCAAAUUAAUCUGAAAAGGGACUGUAGCCUUUGCAGUAGCUGGGGAAUAUCUCUUUUAUCUGCAUUGCCUGGGGCUGCAGAGCCACUGGAAAUUCAGAUUGGUCUUCACAUCUGAUGUGC
rnacentral:lncRNA from 1 species